UUAUGCAUUGGCUUACCCCUCCUCGUCAAGUUUUGACAGUUUCUACCCCUUUUCGCCUGCUUUCGCCUCGCUCGCCUAGCAAUGUUCUGUUUACAUUGUUUAUGAUUUGAAAACAUGGUGCACGGUCUGAAAAUUUCAUUUAAUGUCGUCUAAUAUAUUUAUUUGGUUCCGAUGUGCAUUUACGUGCUGCUGACGAAGGGAGUUCCUCAUCCUGGGCUUCAGUGGAAUGUUCGUGCCCAGCGGAAACUGGGAAAUAUCUUCACCGAAAGCCGAUAUUCGUCGUUGGAAAUGGUGGGCUCAGGUCGGAUGAGUGCCGGAAGCUCGUGCCGCGUCCCAUGGCAUGGUGGGCCAGAAUGACACCCUGCGGGCUGCCGGCCUGGUGGUGCAGAUUGUGCAUGAAGGGAAGAUAGCCGGGCGGUGUAUUCUGUUGGCCGGAGAGCCUAAAUCGGGAAAAACGGCCAUUAUUGUGAGGAUGGCACAGUCGCUUGGCAACGAAACACCCUUCACGAGGAUAUCCGGCUCGGAGAUCCAUUGCGCAAAGGUUGCGACAUUAGUUUCCAUCGAGGAGGAGACAGAAAUCAUCAAGGAUAAAGUUGUGCAAAUUCAGAUCGAUCGUCCGGCUUCCGGCACGGGGCAGAAGGUUGGCAAUUAAGAUCACGUAUAUAAAGACAAACUAUAAUCUCGGAAACAAGAUCGUCCAGUACAGUACUUUAUGAAGGAGCAGAUUCAAGCUGAGGAUGUCAUUACGAUUGAUAAGGCUGUCGUGAACCGAGGAACGGUUCACGGAUCAUUUUGUACGGAAGUAUUCCGUAAUUUACCCAUCCGCAGGGCAAUACACACGAACAACACAACCGUCUUCGUACACAUCCAUUUUUAGACUGAAUUCUUGCGUGCUCGCGCGCGAGCACAAGCCUGUUUUUACACACUUAUUUCUGACUAACAAUAAUCUGCCAACUCGUAACCCACAGAAAUAAAUAAACAGUUAAUAUUUUAUUC